UAUUAGAAAGAAUACCAAUUGCGAAGGCAGCUUUCUGGAUCAUUACUGACACUGAGGAACGAAAGCAUGGGUAGCGAAGAGGAUUAGAUACCCUCGUAGUCCAUGCCGUAAACGAUGUGUGUUAGACGUUGGAAAUUUAUUUUCAGUGUCGCAGCGAAAGCGAUAAACACACCGCCUGGGGAGUACGACCGCAAGGUUAAAACUCAAAUGAAUUGACGGGGACCCGCACAAGUAGUGGAGCAUGUGGUUUAAUUCGAAGAUACGCGCAGAACCUUACCAACACUUGACAUGUUCGUCGCGACUUUGAGAGAUCAAAGUUUUCGGUUCGGCCGGACGAAACACAGGUGCUGCAUGGCUGUCGUCAGCUCGUGUCGUGAGAUGUUGGGUUAAGUCCCGCAACGAGCGCAACUCUCACUUUUAGUUGCCAUCAUUAAGUUGGGCACUCUGAAAGAACUGCCAGUGAUAAGCUGGAGGAAGGUGGGGAUGACGUCAAGUCCUCAUGGCCCUUACGUGUUGGGCUACACACGUGCUACAAUGGUAUCUACAACAGGAAGCAAGACUGCGAAGUCAAGCAAAUCCUUAAAAGAUACCUCAGUUCGGAUUGCACUCUGCAACUCGAGUGCAUGAAGCUGGAAUUACUAGUAAUCGUGGAUCAGCGUGCCACGGUGAAUGCGUUCCCGGGCCUUGUACACACCGCCCA
rnacentral:rRNA from 1 species